GACGAACGCUGGCGGCGUGCUUAACACAUGCAAGUCGAACGAUGAAGCCGGAGCUUGCUCUGGUGAAUUAGUGGCGAACGGGUGAGUAACACGUGAGUAACCUGCCCUUGACUCUGGGAUAACUGCGGGAAACUGUAGCUAAUACCGGAUACGACCCUCGGAGGCAUCUCCUGGGGGUGGAAAGAAUUUCGGUCAAGGAUGGACUCGCGGCCUAUCAGCUAGUUGGUGAGGUAAAGGCUCACCAAGGGGACGACGGGUAGCCGGCCUGAGAGGGUGACUGGCCACACGGGGACUGAGACACGGCCCAGACUCCUACGGGAGGCAGCAGUGGGGAAUAUUGCACAAUGGGCGCAAGCCUGAUGCAGCAACGCCGCGUGAGGGAUGACGGCCUUCGGGUUGUAAACCUCUUUUAGUAGGGAAGAAGCGAAAGUGACGGUACCUGCAGAAAAAGCACCGGCUAACUACGUGCCAGCAGCCGCAGUAA
rnacentral:rRNA from 1 species